rnacentral:lncRNA from 1 species
CCUGCAUGUAGAGUGGACCCCAGUUAACAAAUUGAUUUCAACAGUUGUAAGGUGGGAGUGAAUAAGAUCUUGGUUUAGCAGUGUAAAGAAGGUCAUUUGGACCAAAAAUACGGAAUUUCACGAAUUUUUACUUCAAAUGGACCCGAAACCGAAAGUAGUCGUUUCCUAUGCGUAUUUUAAUAAUAAUUACGAUCAUUAGUUAUAUGCCUGCGGGUUUGCACUAUUUUAGCAAGUUUUAGGCCUCUGAACUUCCUGUGUAAGACACAGAAGGGAAGCCAACCCCUCCAGAACACCGAGUUUCAUCCGAUUUCAAUUCUCUAAGUCCGUAUUUGUGCUCAAAAUGCAAUUUAUACCCGAGAAACAUGACAAUAGAUAGCCUCAGGUUGACGGAACAUGCAUAACUUUCGAAAUAAGUAUCAUAAAAGUGACU